GACGUAGGGCGCGAGCGUUGUCCGGAUUUAUUGGGCGUAAAGAGCUCGUAGGCGGUCUGUUGCGUCGGCUGUGAAAACCCGGGGCUCAACCCCGGGCCUGCAGCCGAUACGGGCAGACUAGAGUCGGAGAGGGGAGACUGGAAUUCCUGGUGUAGCGGUGAAAUGCGCAGAUAUCAGGAGGAACACCGGAGUCGGAAGGCGGGUCUCUGGGCCGAUACUGACGCUGAGGAGCGAAAGCUGGGGAGCAAACAGG
rnacentral:rRNA from 1 species